AUACGUAGGUGGCAAGCGUUGUCCGGAUUUACUGGGUGUAAAGGGCGUGUAGGCGGGAAUACAAGUCAGAUGUGAAAUACUGCGGCUCAACUGCAGAACUGCAUCUGAAACUGUAUUUCUUGAGUACUGGAGAGGAAAGCGGAAUUCCUAGUGUAGCGGUGAAAUGCGUAGAUAUUAGGAGGAACACCGGUGGCGAAGGCGGCUUUCUGGACAGUAACUGACGCUGAGACGCGAAAGCGUGGGGAGCAAACAGGAUUAGAAACCCGGGUAGUCC
rnacentral:rRNA from 1 species